rnacentral:rRNA from 1 species
GAGAGCGGCGGACGGGUGAGUAAUACCUAGGAAUCUGCCUGAUAGUGGGGGAUAACGUUCGGAAACGGACGCUAAUACCGCAUACGUCCUACGGGAGAAAGCAGGGGACCUUCGGGCCUUGCGCUAUCAGAUGAGCCUAGGUCGGAUUAGCUAGUUGGUGAGGUAAUGGCUCACCAAGGCUACGAUCCGUAACUGGUCUGAGAGGAUGAUCAGUCACACUGGAACUGAGACACGGUCCAGACUCCUACGGGAGGCAGCAGUGGGGAAUAUUGGACAAUGGGCGAAAGCCUGAUCCAGCCAUGCCGCGUGUGUGAAGAAGGUCUUCGGAUUGUAAAGCACUUUAAGUUGGGAGGAAGGGCAUUAACCUAAUACGUUGGUGUCUUGACGUUACCGACAGAAUAAGCACCGGCUAACUCUGUGCCAGCAGCCGCGGUAAUACAGAGGGUGCAAGCGUUAAUCGGAAUUACUGGCGUAAAGCGCGCGUAGGUGGUUUGUUAAGUUGAAUGUGAAAUCCCCGGGCUCAACCUGGGAACUGCAUCCAAAACUGGCAAGCUAGAGUAUGGUAGAGGGUAGUGGAAUUUCCUGUGUAGCGGUGAAAUGCGUAGAUAUAGGAAGGAACACCAGUGGCGAAGGCGACUACCUGGACUGAUACUGACACUGAGGUGCGAAAGCGUGGGGAGCAAACAGGAUUAGAUACCCU